CUCAGACAGCAUGGGUCUCUUUGGAAAGAUGGGUAUAAAGGUAGGGUUAGACCAAAACAUGAAGAGAACAGAUCUGGUGCAUACGAUUAUUACUUGAUUCUAAGUAAAACAAUGGAAUGACUACAAUGUGCUAAUUUGAUUAAACUAAGAUGUAUUAUUUGUAUGCUAAUUAUUAUCCCUUGCUACUUUGUUGUCUCUGGGAAUCCAUGUUUUACAAUCACACCUUGUUGUAAUAAUAAACUGUGGCUUAAAUUCUGCAAAUAGGACUUCAAUAGCCAGAAAGCUCCCUAUGUGC